rnacentral:rRNA from 1 species
UACGUAGGGCGCAAGCGUUGUCCGGAAUUAUUGGGCGUAAAGAGCGUGUAGGCGGUCCGGUAAGUCCGUUGUGAAAGUCAGGGGCUCAACCCUUGAAUGCCGGCGGAUACUGUCGGGCUAGAGUCCGGAAGAGGCGAGUGGAAUUCCCGGUGUAGCGGUGAAAUGCGCAGAUAUCGGGAGGAACACCUAUGGCGAAGGCAGCUCGCUGGGACGGUACUGACGCUGAGGCGCGAAAGCCAGGGGAGCGAACGGG